AAAAAAAAAAAAAAACUGCAUGUAUGAUCGUAUGAUUUCAUGGAAGCAGCCUUUCCCAAUUUUUACUGGCCAGAGCUCAAGUUCUGUGAAUUUUUGUGAAUCAGUAAAAUCAAUAUAUUCACUUAAAUCACAUGGAAGUGUACCGAUGAAACAUUGAAAACAGUCAAUUAAAUUUAACGUUAACAGGAGGAUAUGAGUCCAGCAGUUAGACACCUAUAUGUCUACCUACAAGAACUCCUAAAUGUAUUUAAAAAGACACCUAUAAUAUAUAUGACAACAGAAUAUAUAAGCAGAGGAAAUAAAGCGUUUCAAAAUGCUCAGCCCCGAAUUCCUUAUUAUACGUGCCAAUGAAGACAAUAGUCUUAGCGAGAAGCUUCGUAAUAUAUACAAAUUCGAUAUAUAUUAAAUAUAUACCGUAAUACGGUACUUAAACGCAUAAUGCACAUAUCGGAGAAAUGUGUGACAUUCUAGAGACGUGAAAUAUGUGGAUACGAGAGAAAGUGUAAGGAAUAUUAUAAUAUCAAUUGAUAAAUGUGAUGAUGACUGUAAAUAUCAAUACAAAAUCACCCUAUGAAUCUUAACAAUGUCAUGGUACUGACUAACUCUAAUGAAGCUUUUAACAAUAUUUUAUCAAGAAAAUGAGUGUGAGAGAGAGACAACAAUAAAAGAUAACAUUGAAUAUAUAUGUUGUAGACUGAUAGAUACGAAAAAGAUCAUAUAGACUGUAUAAUUUUUUUUGGUAGCGCUCUCUCAAGUACUCUCAGUAAUCAGUAAUCUCAGUAAAUAUUAAAAACGUAUCACUCUUUCCUCACAAUUUUUUUCGUUUUUUGGACCAGGGUAAAUGAACCGAUAAACUUAAUAAAUUAAAAUCUUAACUAUA